rnacentral:lncRNA from 1 species
UGGAUGAAUCAUAUAGCAACUCUAUUUUUAGCUUUUUAACUAUGUUUUAGUAUUUUAAGUUUUAUACUGUUUUCCAUAGUGGCUGUACCAAUUUACAUUUUCCGUAUAGGAGGUAUAACUUCUCUUCAAUGCUUCAACCUGGAGUAAUCCACAUCACUACACUUCCAGUCACGUGUCCAGAUCUGUUCACAAGGCCAAUAUAAUUACAAGGGAGUCUGGAAAUGAGGAGGUCCACUUGGGUAUUCAGUGAGCAUUAAAUGUCUCAACCACAGGCUGUGUGGAUCCCAAUAGCACUCUUCAGUGCAGCCCUGGAAAGCAAAUAUGACUGAGCCCUCCACGUUCCACAGAGACAAGAAGCAGGAAAUUGUGUCAUGCUGAAGAACAAGGCCGGAUGGUGUUUUGCAGGUGCUUACCUAGCUGGAGGGAUGUAAAGGAUGAAGUAAAACCUGAGGGCCCACCUACAGGAAUUUCGCACCACUAUGGAGUGGAAAAAACUUGGCUGAGAAUUUUGAGAUGACAGAUAAGACAGGUAAGCUUCAGCGGGAUCAGAAGGCACUUGGGUGUCAGCCAGAAGGUCCAGUUUUUGGAAGGUAACUUCCCUUCCAGGGGUAUGUGGUGUAGAAACAAGUUGCAUCCAAAGUCAAGGGUGCUGCCCAAACAGUGGGUACCUCAGGAAAAUGCUCUGCCUCCUUCUUUACUCACUGGCUAGGUUAUCGAAAACCUCUCAAAUG